GGAUGCCCAGUACAUUUGAAUUUCAGAUAAACAAGAAUAGUCCUUUAGUAUUAAGUAUGUUCCGUGCUAUUUGGGACAUACUUACACUAAAAACAUU
rnacentral:miRNA from 1 species